rnacentral:rRNA from 1 species
CGCGUAUGCACGGCGGGGAGUUCUUCCCGGCUGACAGAGCUUUACGACCCAGAGGCCUUCAUCACUCACGCGGCGUCGCUGGAUCAGGCUUGCGCCCAUUGUCCAAUAUUCCUCACUGCUGCCUCCCGUAGG